rnacentral:tRNA from 1 species
GGGCCGGUGGUCUAGUGGUAUGACGCCGCCCUUACGAGGCGGAGGUCGAGGGUUCGAUUCCCUCCCGGCCCA